AACUGUGUCUUCCCUGUUUGAAGUAACGGCGAUCGGAUGUCUGUUUUUGUGGCCGAUCUUCCGUCUUCCUCCCAUCAAUCAUCUUUACUUCACCCCCAUUAAUCAAGUGUAGAUUCAAUGCGAUAUUUUGUUUCGCGAAACGGUAUAGUCGAGUAUAAGAAGUAUGUUUCGUCUCUCCAGAAACCCUUUUCAUUCGUUCUAAGCUCAUCAGAUCCGACCAAAAGGUUUCAGAAGUCUCAUUUCCCUGUUAGGAUCGUAGAGUCUGGUGAGCCGCUUUGCUCAAAGAAAACCUCUCUGGGAUCGCGCUCGAUUCUCCGGGACAUCAGUAGUAACAACAUCUCCUAAAGAUAACGCCGUCGACUUGAACGCUACCAACUUUGAUUCAGUCUUCAAAGACACCCUCGCCAAGUACGCCGUUUUGGAGUUCUUCUCUAGCUGGUGUCAUGCAUGUAGAAACUACAAGCCUCAUUAUGAGAAAGUCGCUAGGCUCUUCAAUGGACCAGAGGCAAUACAUCCUGGUACCGUUUUGAUGACCAGAGUUGAUUGUGCAGUUAAGAACAGAUGAAUGUCAAGCUCUGUGAUAAGUUCUCCAUCAAACGUUAUCCAAUGCUCUUCUGGGCCCCUCCCAGAAAGUUUGUUGGCGGCAGCUGGGAACCUAAACAAGAGAAAGUGAUAUACUUGUGGUCGAUCAAUGGCGCACUGCUGAUCUUUUGUUGAGCUGGAUUAACAAGCAGCUAGGCAGCUCUUAUGGCUUGGAUGAUCAGAAAGUUGGAAAUGAGCAUCUUCUGCCAAAUGUAUCUGACCACGAACAGAUUUCUCAGGCCGGGUUUGACAUUGAGGAGGCAACUGAAGAAGCUUUUGAUAUCAUUUGUCACUUAGUGAAUGGCCACUAGCAAUCAAUUCUUCUGAAACUGGCGCUUUGUUUAUUAGGUUUCUGCAGCUUUUUAUUCCACAUCAUCCAUCAAGAAGGUAUCGUAACGGAAGUGUCAUGAACUUUGAUGAUCAUUAUGCGGUGAUGGUGUCAUGUCGCUGCAACUACACAGAAUCAAGGCUGUUUUUCAAACAGCACACAAAGUGGAGGCCAAGAGUUCGAGGGACCUGAUGACCUCUGUUGCGUCUGAAAUGUCAGGAGAGCCUUGUGGCCCCCAUGGGAGGGCCUCCCAGCUACCUGUUCAGAUCAUUCUCUCUUUCUCUUGCUAUCUCCAGAAGUUAAAUGUGAUAAUACAUGAACUAAUGGAAGGCAUUUCCAGUGGGUUCUUUGGUUGUUCUUUUUGUACCUCAUACUUUUCCACUACUGGUUUCAGAUUUUAACUCUUCAUGCAUUAAAUUUGACACCUGAAGAUCUGUCUUUAACGGUUCUUGCUCCAGCAUCCUUCACAUAACCACCAUCUGUGGUGUCCCUAAAUUCCACACCUACAUCCCUUAUAAUCCCAUUAGGAUUCUCUGAGUUCACAGAGAGGGUACAAACCGAAAACGCAUCACAACAAUAAUGGCAAAGGAGAACAAAAAUAAAUAAAGGUUCAAUGUCAAGAAACAGAAGAAGAUGGUAGAGAACAAAACCAAGGGGAUACUUAUGCACAUAAGAUCAAAUGCUUUCACGACAAUGUUCAAUCAGCAUUGUGUAUGUUUCUAUAAUGUGUGGAUUUCUUGGAAACAAAAAGAACGACUUCAGCAUUAGAUUAUUAUGAUGUGGUUCAAUGUGUUAAUCUAUAAACAAGAGAAAUGCGAAGUAUUUUAAAAUUGUGUACA